GAGUUUGAUCAUGGCUCAGGAUGAACGCUGACAGAAUGCUUAACACAUGCAAGUCUACUUGAUCCUUCGGGUGAAGGUGGCGGACGGGUGAGUAACGCGUAAAGAACUUGCCUUACAGACUGGGACAACAUUUGGAAACGAAUGCUAAUACCGGAUAUUAUGAUUGGAUCGCAUGAUCUGAUUAUGAAAGCUAUAUGCGCUGUGAGAGAGCUUUGCGUCCCAUUAGUUAGUUGGUGAGGUAACGGCUCACCAAGACGAUGAUGGGUAGCCGGCCUGAGAGGGUGAACGGCCACAAGGGAACUGAGACACGGCCCUUACUCCUACGGGAGGCAGCAGUGGGGAAUAUUGGACAAUGGACCAAAAGUCUGAUCCAGCAAUUCUGUGUGCACGAUGAAGUUUUUCGGAAUGUAAAGUGCUUUCAGUUGGGAAGAAGUCAGUGACGGUACCAACAGAAGAAGCGACGGCUAAAUACGUGCCAGCAGCCGCGGUAAUACGUAUGUCGCAAGCGUUAUCCGGAUUUAUUGGGCGUAAAGCGCGUCUAGGCGGCUUAGUAAGUCUGAUGUGAAAAUGCGGGGCUCAACCCCGUAUUGCGUUGGAAACUGCUAAACUAGAGUACUGGAGAGGUAGGCGGAACUACAAGUGUAGAGGUGAAAUUCGUAGAUAUUUGUAGGAAUGCCGAUGGGGAAGCCAGCCUACUGGACAGAUACUGACGCUAAAGCGCGAAAGCGUGGGUAGCAAACAGGAUUAGAUACCCUGGUAGUCCACGCCGU
rnacentral:rRNA from 1 species